rnacentral:rRNA from 1 species
UACGGGGGGGGCAAGCGUUGUUCGGAAUUACUGGGCGUAAAGGGCUCGUAGGCGGCCAACUAAGUCAUACGUGAAAUCCCUCGGCUUAACCGGGGAACUGCGUCCGAUACUGGAUGGCUGGAGGUUGGGAGAGGGAUGCGGAAUUCCAGGUGUAGCGGUGAAAUGCGUAGAUAUCUGGAGGAAUACCGGUGGCGAAGGCGGCAUCCUGGACCGACAUUGACGCUGAGGAGCGAAAGCUAGGGGAGCAAACGGG